rnacentral:tRNA from 1 species
CCCUGGUUAGCUCAGUUGGUAGAGCGCUCCACUUGUAAUGGAGAGGUCCCGGCUUCGAUACCCGGACCAGGCG